rnacentral:rRNA from 1 species
CCUACGUGUGGCAGCAGUGAGGAAUAUUGGUCAAUGGGCGGAAGCCUGAACCAGCCAAGUCGCGUGAGGGAUUAAGGCCCUGCGGGUCGUAAACCUCUUUUGCCGGGGAUAAAGGUGUCCACGUGUGGAUGUUUGCAGGUACCGCAUGAAUAAGGACCGCCUAAUUCCGUGCAAGCAGCCGCGGUAAUACGGAAGGUCCGGGCGUUAUCCGGAUUUAUUGGGUUUAAAGGGCGCGUAGGCCGGUCUUUAAGCGUGCCGUGACAUUUUGUGGCUCAACCAUGAGAGUGCGGCGCGAACUGGAGACGUUGAGUGCGCGGAAGGCAGGCGGAAUUCGUGGUGUAGCGGUGAAAUGCUUAGAUAUCACGAAGAACCCCGAUUGCGAAGGCAGCCUGCCGCAGCGUUACUGACGCUGAAGCUCGAAAGCGCGGGUAUCGAACAGGAUUAGAUACCCCUGUAGUC